GAAACUGCGAAUGGCUCAUUAAAUCAGUUAUGGUUUAUUUGAUGGUACCUACUACUUGGAUAACCGUAGUAAUUCUAGAGCUAAUACAUGCAGGAAGACCCGACUUCGGAAGGGUUGUAUUUAUUAGAUAAGAAACCAAUCCAGCUUGCUGGUUGCGUGCUGAGUCACAAUAACUGCUCGAAUCGCAUGGCUUUAUGCCGGCGAUGGUUCAUUCAAAUUUCUGCCCUAUCAGCUUUCGAUGGUAGGAUCGAGGCCUACCAUGGCGUUUACGGGUAACGGAGAAUUAGGGUUCGAUUCCGGAGAGGGAGCCUGAGAGAUGGCUACCACAUCCAAGGAAGGCAGCAGGCGCGUAAAUUGCCCGAAUCCUGACACAGGGAGGUAGUGACAAGAAAUAACAAUACAGGGCUACAUCUAGUCUUGUAAUUGGAAUGAGUACAAUUUACAUCUCUUCACGAGGAUCAAUUGGAGGGCAAGUCUGGUGCCAGCAGCCGCGGUAAUUCCAGCUCCAAUAGCGUAUAUUAAAGUUGUUGCAGUUAGAACGCUCGUAGUCGGAUUUCGGGGCGGGUCGACCGGUCUGCCGAUGGGUACGCACUGGCCGACGCGUCCUUCCUUCCGGAGACCGUCUCACUCUUAACUGAGCGGAGGCGGGAGACGGAACGUUUACUUUGAAAAAAUCAGAGUGUUUCAAGCAGGCAGCUCGCUCUUGCAUGGAUUAGCAUGGGAUAAUGAAAUAGGACUUUGGUGCUAUUUUGUUGGUUUCGAACACCGAAGUAAUGAUGAGAAGGGACAGUCAGGGGCACUCGUAUUCCGCCGAGAGAGGUGAAAUUCUCAGACCAGCGGGAAGACGAACCAUUGCGAAAGCAUUUGCCAGGGAUGUUUUCACUGAUCAAGAACGAAAGUUAGGGGAUCGAAGACGAUCAGAUACCGUCGUA
rnacentral:rRNA from 1 species